AUUGAACGCUGGCGGCAGGCCUAACACAUGCAAGUCGAGCGAGCGGCGGGCGGGUGAGUAAUAUCUGUGAAACUGCCUGAUGGGGGGGGAUAACUACUCGAAACGGUAGCGAAUACCCCCUACCAUCAGAUGUGCCCAGAUAGGAUUAGCUAGUGGGUGGGGUAACGGCUCACCUAGGCGACGAUCCCUAGCUGGUCUGAGAGGAUGACCAGCCACAAUGGAACUGAGACACGGGCCAGACUCCUACGGGAGGCAGAAGUGGGGAAUAUUGCACAAUGGGCGCAAGCCUGAUGCAGCCAUGCCGCGUGUAUGAAGAAGGCCUUCGGGUUGUAAAGUACUUUCAGCGGGGAGGCGUUACCCGCAGAAGAAGCACCGGCUAACUCCGUGCCAGCAGCCGCGGUAAUUC
rnacentral:rRNA from 1 species